ACAUUAAUGGGGUAGAGGUAACCUGGGUUGUUGCGAUCAACCUGCCGGGGGUUCAAUUCCCUCUUAAUGCA
rnacentral:tRNA from 1 species